UUACAAUUCCCUCUCCCCAACUCACAAAAUCUUUCAGGCCCAAAUUUCCUCUCUUCAUCGCCUUCUUUACCGAGAGAAAGUCGGCGCAAUCAGAACAACAAAGAUGGUCUAGACUAUCGGCUCUCGCCUUUGUUGACAAACUAAUGUAAAAUGAGAAGAAUGAGAAAAUUACUCCAAUGGAUCAAAGGAUAAUCUAAAGCAAUGGAUUGAUCAUCCAAGAUUUGAGCUAAUUCGUGAAGGUAAAGCACUCCUUGUGUUUGCUUCUACAAAUAUAUUUGGAUUUCUUGUUAUUCAUGAGUACUUUUGAUCAAAUGAAUAAAGCGUCUAAGUAAUUCCAACAUGCUUGUUUAACCAUGAUUAUCAGUGAAAAUCUAGAGAUUAAACUUUAGCUACUUGUUCCGACUUUGAGUUAAUGAAGUCUUAUCUAAAGCAUCUAGACAUUUCUUAUCAUUAUAAAAAAAAUUUAAUGACUAGUCAGAACUAUCUCUGUUAUACUUCUUCUUGUUUCCCAUUUCAUGAUGCAUGAUCUAUUUGGGGUGCAAACAAGCAUGGUGAAGAAAAUUUCUUUCACUGGUGAAUAUGUGGGCAGAGGUUUCAGGAUUGUUGUGUUGGUAUGACUAAGGGAUUUGGGCUAUUUGGAGCCGAGUACUCGUGGCAAGAGCGUGGUUUCGGGUUGAUUUUUGAGCCGGUUCGAGAUCCAGGUUCUUCGACUCAGUCCUACUAUCUUUGAGGCGAAGCGAUUCUUCAGAGAUUUCGAGGUAUAUCUGUCGCGUCUGCAGAUCGAGAAAUCUCUCUCCAUUCUCUCUUAUAGUUAUAGCCUUUAUGUAUUUACUUUUGUUUAGAUAUUCUGGAGUUAGACACUUGUAGUUAUUUAAUAGCUUAUGAUUUCAUGAGAUUUUGGGUUUUGGUAAGUGUUCAGUUUUAGAGUUAUAUUUGUAUAUGCCGAGCGACAUUUUAGACCUUCAUUAUGUUUAUUCCGCAGUUUUUAUUA